UUCCGUAGGUGAACCUGCGAAGGAUCAUUAAAAAAUUCUGCCAUGUUUGGUGGAAACAAUAAUCAUCCUACCUUUGUGAAUUUUGUUUGUAUAAUUUUUAAAAGAAAAAUUUUACUGUCUAUCCUGGAUAGUAAAAGUUGAAGGAUAAUCUAGAAACUUUUGCUUUCAGGAAUAGUAUUAAUAAUUUUAUUUAAAGACUUUUUUUUAAAUUAAACUUUUGUAUUCAUUUGUCAAAAUUAUUUUAAUAAUUUAAAAACAACUUUUGACAAUGGAUCUUCUUCGCAACGAUGAGAACGCAGCAAAAUGCGAUAAGUGUGAAUUCAGAAUACGUGAUCAUCAAAUCUCGAACGCAUAUUGCACUUUUUAGUUACUAAAAAGUAUGUCUGUUUGAGUAUCAGUAAAAUAUUCUCAUAAACUUUUUGUUUAUUGUUAUGUGUUUACAACGAUACAAGUUGUUUCACUUUAAAUUGACUUAUAUAAACCUAUCCAUUUAGGUCAAUUUUUAAAUUGGAUAAGAUUUCCUGUAAAAGGGAAUAACUUGACGUUUAAAGAAAGAUCUAAAAAGUUUUCUUAAAGGAAAUUAUAAUAAACUAACUUGAUCUCAAAUCAGUAAGAGUACCCGCUGAACUUAAGCAUAUCAAUAGCGGAGGAAAGAAACUAACAAGGAUUCCCUAUAACGGCGAUGAGCGGAAGAGCUCAAAUUUGAAUCUUCAAGGGUUUCCUUGACGAAUUGUAGUUUAUAGAAGUGUUUUCUGUAGAGAGGUGGUAAAGUUCUUUGGAAUAGGACAUCAUAGAGGUGAGAAUCCGUAUUUGAUCACUUCUACUAACGUUGUGAUACACUUUCAACGAGUCGGAUUGUUUGGAAUGCAGUCCAAAAUGGUGGUAAAUUCAUCUAAAGCUAAUAUUGGCGAGAGACGAUAGCGAACAAGUACGUGAGGAAAGAUGAAAAGAACUUGAAAGGAGUUAAACAGUACGUGAAUUGUCAAAAGGAAGCGUUGACACCAGUGUUGUUUUCCGAAAUCAAUUACGAAUGCGGAUUCUAAGUUCAUGACCUAAAAGCUUGUUCUUCUUUCCUGUCUUCUUAAUGCACUUUUCGGUUAACAUCACAUCAAUUUUCUUUGUUGUAAAAGGUUAAGAGGAAGGUGGCUUUACUUUCGGUAAAGUUUAUAGCCUUUUAACUCUGCAAUCGGAGAGAUUGAGGUCUGCAGCGUAGAUCCUCGGGCUAGAUACGUUUGUGCUAAGUUAUAGCUUUUCAUAGACAACUUGUUGACUAUGUUAGUCUUGUAGCUUACUCGCAGAUGCUAUUUUACCUACGCUUAGGAUGU
rnacentral:misc_RNA from 1 species